rnacentral:rRNA from 1 species
UACGAAGGGGGCUAGCGUUGCUCGGAAUCACUGGGCGUAAAGCGCACGUAGGCGGAUUGCUAAGUCAGGGGUGAAAUCCUGGAGCUCAACUCCAGAACUGCCCUUGAUACUGGCGGUCUCGAGUCCGGGAGAGGUGAGUGGAACUGCGAGUGUAGAGGUGAAAUUCGUAGAUAUUCGCAAGAACACCAGUGGCGAAGGCGGCUCACUGGCCCGGUACUGACGCUGAGGCGCGAAAGCGUGGGGAGCAAACGGG